UGGUUCCUACAGGGGGCAGCAGUGAGGUAUAUUGGUCAAUGGACGGAAGUCUGAACCAGCCAUGCCGCGUGCAGGAUGACGGCUCUAUGAGUUGUAAACUGCUUUCGUAUUAGGGUAAACACCCCUACGUGUAGGGGCUUGAAAGUAUAAUACGAAUAAGGAUCGGCUAACUCCGUGCCAGCAGCCGCGGUAAUACGGAGGAUCCAAGCGUUAUCCGGAUUUAUUGGGCGUAAAGCGAGUGCAGGCGGUUCAAUAAGUCUGAUGUGAAAGCCUUC
rnacentral:rRNA from 1 species